GGGUACCGCUCCCUUUCUCAUUCUCUGCACCCGGUAUAGGUGCGGAGUGGAG
rnacentral:ncRNA from 1 species